rnacentral:rRNA from 1 species
GCUGGCGAGAUGCUUUACACAUGCAAGUCAUACGAGAGUUUUUAACUCAAGUGGCGGACGGGUGAGUAACACGUAAGAAUUUGCCUUUAGGAGGGGGAUAACAACGAGAAAUUGCUGCUAAUACCCCAUAUGCUUUCGAGUGAAAUGGAUUUUUUCCGCCUGAAGAGAAGCUUGCGCCUGAUUAGCUUGUUGGUAAGGUAAUGGCUUACCAAGGCGACGAUCAGUAUCUGGUUUGAGAGGAUGAUCAGACACACUGGAACUGAGACACGGUCCAGACUCCUACGGGAGGCAGCAGUGGGGAAUUUUCCGCAAUGGGCGAAAGCCUGACGGAGCAAACUCGCGUGAGGGAUGACGGCCUAUGGGUUGUAAACCUCUUUUUUCAGGGAGGAAUAAAAUGACGUGUACCUGAAGAAUAAGCAUCGGCUAACUCCGUGCCAGCAGCCGCGGUAAGACGGAGGAUGCAAGUGUUAUCCGGAAUCACUGGGCGUAAAGCGUCUGUAGGUGGUUUAGUAAGUCAACUGUUAAAUCUUGAAGCUUAACUUCAAAAUCGCAGUCGAAACUGCUAGACUAGAGUAUAGUAGG